GGGGGCGGGGAGUGGGGCCGGGCGCGCGCCGGGGCGCCCCACCCCGCCUCCGCCCCCGCCCCACGCGCCGGCGGCGCGGACCUCCUUGUCAAUGGGAGCGCGGGGCCGGGCUGCCCGCAGGACGGUCAGGUGGGCCCCCCAGCUCGCUGCCAGCGCGGCCUCUGUCCCUCUCGGGCCGGCUCUCCAUCUUGUCGCCCGUAGCCCGCCUUCUCCGUGGCUCUCCAGCCGCUGGGGCCGCAGAGCCGAGGCCGGGUUACCUCAGGAAACGCGAUGUGGUAGUGGGUCGGAAUAAACCCGCGCGCCCCAGAAUUCGCCUUGGGGGCGUAAGGACAGAUUCGGACUUUUCGUUUCCUAUGUCCACAUUUAUUGAGCACCUAAUAUGUGACACCCGAGGCUGUAAGAAGAGGAACGCAGCGGGCGGAGAAAAGCCAGAGCUUUUUCUCUGUGAGCCGCUGCCUCCAGGGCCAUAGCCGACCCUGCUCCGAGAUCCCAGCCGCCGCUCUCCGUGCAGGAGGGGUGCCCACCCUGGGGAGGCCAGGGUGCCCGGAGUGGAGGGACAGGGCUUCAAGCGACCGGGAGUUUCCAGCAAACCCCUGAUCCCUGAGCAGUUUAUUUUAAAAGCUUUUGCAAAUGUUGGACGGUUUCGUUUGGUGGAGGCCGUCUUUGCACUAAAUUCUCCUGUCCUCCCCCUUCGAAACGCACAAAAUGAAUUUUGAACAGAUUUUGGAUGAGAGGUUUUCUUCCUUUUUUCAUCUUCUGAAACAUUUCCCCCUCAUUUCUUCUCAGAUAAAGACCCAGAAACCCGGGACAGUUACUCGGUGUACAGCUAGUCAAAUACUGAGGAAACCAGUCGAUAUUUGCCAAAGAUUGGGCAUGUUCUGGGUGGUCUCAGAUUUUGAAGAAACGACUUUUUUACUGCACAAAAUAGUUUUACAAUCAGUUCCAUCAGACAGCCCCAGGGGCUCUCCUAGGGAAAGGGGCCAAUAGGCAAGGUUGCAUGGGGAUAAGAGAGGCAAGCGGCCAGUGGAAAACGGUUUUUUGUUUUUUUUUUCCUAACAGUUGGGCAUUUCUGUAGCUCUGAAAGCAAACUUGUUUGUUUCAUUUCAACGAUAGAAAAAAAACACUCCUGUUUUGGAAAUGUAACCCAGCAUAAAAAUACAUUUGCAAUGGGGAAAAAGAAAGCAGUUUAGGGCCACCCAGAAGAAAAUAUUUUUUCCCUGAUUUUUUUUUAAUUUGGUAUUUCCCAGUGUGGGUUUGCCUCAUUUUACAAAUAGCUGCCCAUGUCAAGAUGUGGGUAUGUGAUUUAAAUAUUUUAAUUUGAAUCACAUUUUACAUAGUCUAGGAAACUGACAAAAGAAUCCUAUAGAGAAUUGUUUUAUAAAGUGAAUAACUGCUUCUCUACCUACCCGCCCCUCUCAUUCUUCUUUUCUGUGCGUGUUUUUGGGGGGCUGUUAUGGGAUAAAUCUUGUUUGGCUUAAAAAUCACUAAAACGCAGCCUUUCAAAUCCAAAACAGAGAGCUUAGGUACCCAACAUUCUAUAGAAUGUAUUAUUUCCUCAAGAGGUUGCUAGGAACAGUUAUGUAGAUCUACCAGGUGCAGGGAAGCACUCCACACCCUCACCCAGGUCCUGUAUCCCUGCAAGACUGCGUUGGAAAGACUGAAGAGGAUAAAGACUCAAAUCCUCAGCAGGGCCUCUAAGGCCCCUCAUGAUCUGGCCCCUGGAGACCUUACCAGUGCCCCCAGCCCUGUCCCGAGUGGCACCAGUCUGCUCACAGGCCCCCAGCCCAGGUUUCAGCUCAAAUAUCACUUCUUCAGGGAAACCUCCCUGGAUCCCCCUGACUGCUUCAGCCCUUCUGCCUAGUACAUCUCAGAGCACAUUUCCUUAUCAAAUAUCAUGAGAUAAGGUCUUUCUCUGCCACUCAAGCUGGAGUACAGUGGCAUGAUCAUAGCUCACUGCAGCAUCAACCUCCUGGGCUCAAGCCAUCUUCCAACCUCACAGCCACCUGGGUAGCUGGGACUAUGGGUACCCACCCCAUACCCGGAGCUGACAAGCCAUAGCAGGACGGCUAUCCCCUGAGAGAUAGGAGAGGAGGAGAAACAGCCUGACAGGGGCCUGGAGCAGCUGGCUGGCGUCAGUAAUUUCCUGCAGGAGACUCUGCUGGCCGAGCACACAUCACCCUUCUGUUGCUCCUCUGUAUUCUCCCUUGUGCUACUAAAAUACGCUAAUGUAACUCCUGGGCUGUGCUAAGCUAAAUGCAGUUAUUUAACCUCAUUUCUAUGGAACCCAGGUCUAAAGCAGCAACAUCUAUUUGGAACAAGAUGGGGAGGAGCAAGAGUGAAUUCAUGCUCUUCUUCAUGGAGGUGGAUGUUUCUGGAAGGAGGUUUGUGAUGUCCUUUGCAGGGACAUGGAUGGAGUUGGAAGCCCUUAUCCUCAGCAAACUAAUGCAGGAACAGAAAACCAAACACUGCAUGUUCUUACUUAUAAGUGGGAACUGAAUGAUGAGAACACAUGGACACAUAAGGGGAAAUGACACACACUGGGGCCUGUCAGAGCUGAGGGGUUGUGGGGAGAGGGAGAGAAUCAGGAAUAAUGGCUAAUGUAUGCUGUGCUUAAUAUCUAGGUGAUGGGAUGAUCUGUGCAGCAAACCACCAUGGCACACGUUUACCUAUGUAACAAACCUGGACAUCCUGCACAUGUAUCCUGGAACUUAAAAUAAAAGUUGAAGAAAAAAAAAAAAGAAAAAGUUUUGUGAAGUCUGGAGGUGUAAUGGACAGACACAGGCUUAGGGUGAGGCAGGCCCAUGUUCAGAUCCUUGCUUCCUCACUAAGCUAGCAGGGAGACUGGCUAUAUCACCGAGCCUCAGUUUCCUCACCUGUACAUCUGCUGUAGAAGUGGCAUAUCAUAUGCUGUCCUGGCUGUGACCUUUGGUAGCUCAUCACUGCCCUUCUUACUGUUCUCAGGGUAAACCCCUUUCCAGGCAGAGUUGCCAAGACACCCAGUAAAAUUUGAAUUUCAGAUAAACACUGAAUAAUUUUUUAGUAUAAUGAUGCUCCAAAUAUUGCAUGGGAUAUACUUAACACUAAAAAAAAAAUCAUUGUUUGUCUGAAAUUCAGAUUUAACUGGGCAACCUGCAUUUUUAAAUAAACUUUUAAUUUUAGAAUCAUUUUAGAUUUACAGAAAAAAAUAUAAAGAUCGUACAGAGUUACCACACACCCUGCACCCAGUUUCCCCUAUAACUAAUAUCUUACGUCGAGCCAGUGCAGUGGCGCACAUUUGUAAUCCUAGCUGCUCAGGAGGCUGAGGUGGGAGUAUUGUUUGAGCCCAGGAGCUCGAGGCUGCAGUGAGCCAUGAUUGCACCAUUGCACUCCAGCCUGAGUGACGGAGUAAGAUGCCAUCUUUUAAAAAAAAAUCUUAUGCCAGUAUGAUACAUUUGUCACAAUUAAUGAACUAAGAUUGAUAUAUUAUCAUUAACUAAAGUCUAUACUUCAUUAGAUUUCCUUAGUUUUUCCCCAGUGUCCUUUUCUAUUCCAGGAUCCUGUCCAGGACACCAUAUCAUAUUUAGUUGUCAAGUCUUCCUAGUUCCUCUUGGCUGUGACAGUUUUUUAGACUUCCCUUGUUUUUGAUGACCUUGACCGUUUUGAGGAGCACUGGUCUGGGGUUUUGUAGAAUGCCCCUCAAUUCAGCCUGUCAGAUGUUUUUCUCAUGAUUAGGCUGGGGUAUUAUUUUUUUGGGAGGAAGACCACAGAGGUCAAGAGCCAUUCUCUUCACAUCUCGUUAAGGGUCUGUACUGUCCAUAUGACUUACCACUGUUGAUGUUGACCUUGAUCACCUGGCUAAGGUAGUGUUCAUCAGGUUUAGCAACUGUAUUUUCAUUUGCUAAAUCUGUAACUCGAUUCCAGGCCUGUCAGUCUUUCAUGACCAGACCUUUGCUUACUGCUGCUGCCAUUUUUCUGCUCCAACCAUAGUGAACUGCUAACAAUUCCUCUAAUGAACUAUUCUCUGUCUCUCUUACUGCCAGGCCUUAGGGCUUGCUCUUUCCUUUGCCUGGAAUGUUCCACUCCCCCACAGCCUCCCAUCCACACCUCCCCUUCACCCGAUUAACUUACUUUUCAGUUGGGCUUCAGUGUUCCGCUUAGGUCUCACUCCUUCCGGGAAGAUUUCUUGCACCCUCCUCUGCCAAGACCAGGUUAGGUGUUGCUUCUCUGCCCUGGUCCUACUGUGUUGUGAUAUUUACCAUCCUGUGGUUGUGAACUGUUUGCUUGUCUCCCUGACCCCAGUGCAUCCCUGACAUCUUACACAGUGCCUUGUUGCAACUCAAUAAAUAAUUGCUGAAUAAAUGAAUGGUUACACCAGGCACUUCAGGUAAAGCCUUUAACACACUACCUGCCUUGUAAACAGUAGAUGCUCAGUAAAUGCUUGUCUUUUUCAAUGUAGGAAAAAUAAUCUUCCCUAGAUCUGAGCAACUGUAAUAAGUUUGUGCUCGCCCGACACCCGCAACACAUGUCCCUACCUGGAGAAGAGAUUCUGGAACAGUGGUCUCCUAGGAUUCCCUGAGAGCCACAGUUACCUGUAUCAAAGUAUCAAGGAGGCCACUUAAUGACAGAGAUAUUAGGGUAAGUAGGCUACUUUCCGUCAGUUUGCAGAUUAAAAAGGCAUCUUUCUCCCAGUGGAGAAACUGAAUUAUGAACCCCUUCGCCCAGAUUUCCAUAGUUGGACGCGCUGACCCAUUAUUUUUAGUGAAAGGGACAAAGGGACCCACCUCCUUCUCUUUUUGCUGCCCAUGUGCCACACACAUGUAAAUGACAUGUGUACCUAUUGUUGCUUGUCCUUGAUGAUGAGUACACUUGUACAUUGAUAUAUUUAUUAGUGUUUUGCUUUUCACUAAUCCAGCAUAGUUGUGACCCCACCCCUGAGACCUAAAGGAAGGAGACACCUCAUAGGGGGUCUCAGGAAUCUCUGAUGAACCUUAGGACUAAUUAUAAUUCUUUCAUUUAUUAUAACUUCAUGCCAGGUAUUUUAUCUGCCUCACCUCUAAUCCUCUCAAUAACCUUGCAUGUUUUUAUUCAUCCCGUAUUACAAAUGAGAAAGCUAAGGUUUGGGUGCUUAAGAAAUUUUCCCCAAGUUUUUUUUGUGGUGGAGCCAGCUUGGAGCUAGGGCAAUAGACUUCAGAGUCUCAGCUCCAUCCUCUCCAUGGUUCAGAAAGUUCUCUAGUUCUGUAAGAGACAGCCAACAUCCCCCAAGGGCUUGUGCUCAUUGGAAUGGCUCUCGGGUCCACUCCUCCCUUUGUAUCCCCAGGUCACCUCACUAGAGCAGACCUCCAUCAGUCAGUGUUUACCCACCUUCCAGAGCCUCCUUCCUGGACUCUUGCCCCCGGAUUCCCCACCCAUAGCACUCUCACACUGCCAUCGCCCAACUCAGGAUCCCAAGAAUGCCCAUUUUCAGCCUUAUAAAUCCUUUGCCUUGCUUCCAAGACCCUAUGGUCUAUUUCUUUUCCAAGCCUUCUCUCCGUGCAUCAGAUUCUUCAUGAAACUUACACUGACUAGUCCCCCACCCAUCUCCCUUUCCUUGGAUCUUCAUGGCACCUAGGUAUGCAAGGCAUAAAGUAGUGUAGAAUGCCCUUCUGGCUUGUGUGGAACCACAGGGGAGUCCCCUGGGUUUCUAAUAUGGUUUUCCCAUCUGGAUUGACACCCCCGAAGGACAAAAACCUCUUGUUAAAAAAGUCAACUUUAUUGAGGUAUAACAUACAUACACCCUGUUUUAAGUGUUGAGUUUGAUAAGGUUUGACAAAUGUAUACACCCAGGUAACCACCGUCACAACCAAGAUAUAGAACAUUUCUAUCACCCCAGAAAUACCUCUGAGCCCCUUUGUAGUCAAUUCCUCCACCCCCGACCCAGGAAGCCACUUGUUGGAUUUCUAUUAAUAUAGAUUAGUUUUGCCUGCCGUUGAACUCCACAAAAAUGCAGUCACAAAGGGUGUAGUCUUUUGUGUCAGCCUAUUUUGGUUAGCACGAUAUUUUAAAGAUUCCUCCAUACUGUUUAUUACUUUCUUCUUGCUGAGUAGUAUUCUAUGGUAGAGACUAUACUACAACUUGAUUGUCCAUGUUGACUAAAUUUGAGGCUGUUUCACAUUUUUGGCUAUUGUGAAUAAAGUAGCUAUGAAUGUUUACACACAAGCCUUUUGUGAAUGUGUUUUCAUUUCUU
rnacentral:lncRNA from 10 species